rnacentral:rRNA from 1 species
CACGUGAGGGCGCAAGCGUUGUCCGGAAUUGCUGGGCGUAAAGCGUGCGCAGGCGGCUUUGCAAGACAAGAUGUGAAAUCCCCCGGGCUUAACCUGGGAACUGCAUUUUGUGACGUGCAUGGCUGGGAGUGCGGGCAGAGGGGGAUGGAAUUCCGCGUGGUAGCAGUGAAAUGCGUAGAUAUGCGGAGGAACACCGAUGGACGGAAGGCAAUCCCCGUCGGGCCUG